CCUACGGGUGGCAGCAGUGAGGAAUAUUGGUCAAUGGGCUUACGCCUGAACCAGCCAAGUCGCGUGAGGGAAGACUGCCCUAUGGGUUGUAAACCUCUUUUGUCAGGGAGUAAAGCCGGCUACGUGUAGCCUGACUGAGAGUACCUGAAGUAAAAGCAUCGGCUAACUCCGUGCCAGCAGCCGCGGUAAUACGCAGGAUGCGAGCGUUAUCCGGAUUUAUUGGGUUUAAGGGGUGCGUGGGCGGACUGCCAAGUCAGCGGUAAAAUCGCGGGGCCCAACCUCGCUCCGCAGUUGAAACUGGCGUUCUUGAGUGGGCGAGAGGUAUGCGGAAUGCGUGGUGUAGCGGUGAAAUGCAUAGAUAUCACGAAGAACUCCGAUUGCGAAGGCAGCAUACCGGCGCCCAACUGACGCUGAGGCACGAAAGCGUGGGUAUCAAACAGGAUUAGAUACCCCAGUAGUC
rnacentral:rRNA from 1 species